ensembl:snRNA U6 U6 spliceosomal RNA
GUGCUUGCUUCAGCAGCACAUACAUUAAAAUUGGAAUGAUGCAGAGAUUAGCUUGGCCCAUGUGCAAGUAUGACAUGAAAAUUUGUGAAAUGUUCCACAUUUUG